GGAGAGAUGUCCGAGUGGCUUAAGGAGCACGCUUGGAAAGCGUGUAUGCGGUUUCCGUAUCGAGGGUUCGAAUCCCUCUCUCUCCG
rnacentral:tRNA from 1 species